GAUGAACGCUGGCGGCGUGCCUAACACAUGCAAGUCGAGCGAAGCACUUUGCUUAGAUUCUUCGGAUGAAGAGGAUUGUGACUGAGCGGCGGACGGGUGAGUAACGCGUGGGUAACCUGCCUCAUACAGGGGGAUAACAGUUAGACAUGACUGCUAAUACCGCAUAAGACCACAGCACCGCAUGGUGCGGGGGUAAAAACUCCGGUGGUAUGAGAUGGACCCGCGUCUGAUUAGCUAGUUGGUAAGGUAACGGCUUACCAAGGCGACGAUCAGUAGCCGACCUGAGAGGGUGACCGGCCACAUUGGGACUGAGACACGGCCCAAACUCCUACGGGAGGCAGCAGUGGGGAAUAUUGCACAAUGGGGGAAACCCUGAUGCAGCGACGCCGCGUGAGCGAAGAAGUAUUUCGGUAUGUAAAGCUCUAUCAGCAGGGAAGAAAAUGACGGUACCUGACUAAGAAGCACCGGCUAAAUACGUGCCAGCAGCCGCGGUAAUACGUAUGGUGCAAGCGUUAUCCGGAUUUACUGGGUGUAAAGGGAGCGUAGACGGAUACGCAGUCUGAUGUGAAGCCCGGGGCCCACCCCGGGACUGCGGGAAAACUGUCCAUCAGGUUCUGGAGAGGUGAUGGAAUUCCGAGCUUCCGGAUUAAUCGGCACUUCCCGAGGUACACCGUGGAGGA
rnacentral:rRNA from 1 species